rnacentral:rRNA from 1 species
UACGUAGGUGGCAAGCGUUAUCCGGAUUUAUUGGGCGUAAAGCGAGUGCAGGCGGUUUAUUAGGUCUGAUGUGAAAGCCCUCGGCUCAACCGAGGAAGUGCAUCGGAAACCGGUAAACUUGAGUGCAGAAGAGGAGAGUGGAACUCCAUGUGUAGCGGUGGAAUGCGUAGAUAUAUGGAAGAACACCAGUGGCGAAGGCGGCUCUCUGGUCUGUAACUGACGCUGAGGCUCGAAAGCGUGGGUAGCAAACAGG